AGUCCUGUAGCUCAGUGGUUAGAGCACUCGCUUUGAAUGCGAGAGACCUGGGUUCGAUUCCCGGCAGGGUGA
rnacentral:tRNA from 1 species